CGUUCAUCCAUUUCUUCAAUAUAAUGAUAGGAAUUAUGUAAACAUGUGGACACAUAAAAGAUGGAUCUAUACUACUAUUAAACAAGCAAAUAUAUUCAUUGCUAAGUACACACAGCCUUACGUACACACAACAACACGAACCAAUUACAGCCGCAUGAUCAGCGACACUUAAUUUAAUCUAACCAUUAAAAUUAUAUUAACCCACGUCACAAGUGCGUUUAGCCAUUUGUCUAGGCGGACGAAAACUCUGUCGAGAAAGUUCCCCGCCCCGCAUCCCGUUCGUGUAUCCUAUAAACUAGGAAACAAACACCGCGAGAAUAAAUAAGGCGUUCGAAAAAGAGAAAGAAAAUAACUACCAUGCAUGUGGAGGAGCAAUCAGUGAAAACUUACCACACAGUAGAACAGGGUCGCAUGCACCAGGUAAUUAUUGUGCUCCCGCUAAUCAAGGUAGAAAACGAAAAAAAAUUAAAGCAAAACCAUCUUGGAUAUUCGUCCUGCAAAUACGACGCCUUAAUACGAACAAAGGCGUGGCCCAGCGGCUCUUCACGUUGCUCACCGGUGCAGCGAACAUGUUCGCCACCGACGUCCACGCUGCCGUGGGCAGGAGCCCGGACCGUUUGCGCUACUGGCACAUCUUCUCGACAUGGUAUUCCACGGCCGAUGCGGUAAAAAAAUGAUCUCUUCAUUCAAUUGGACAAGAACCUUUCCGCCGCUGUUGAGGAAGUCUUCAAGCUUCUCGGUCAUGCGUGCGAUGCCUUCUCCUCCGGCCCCUACGACGCCGCAGUCGUCUCCCAUCGUGCAGGAUUAGUUCCGAUCGCGCCACUCGGCGAAGCCGCUCGCGUCCGAG
rnacentral:lncRNA from 1 species